AUUGAACGCUGGCGGCAGGCCUAACACAUGCAAGUCGAACGGUAACAGGAAGCAGCUUGCUGCUUCGCUGACGAGUGGCGGACGGGUGAGGAAUGUCUGGGAAGCUGCCUGAUGGAGGGGGAUAACUACUGGAAACGGUAGCUAAUACCGCAUAAUGUCGCAAGACCAAAGAGGGGGACCUUCGGGCCUCUUGCCAUCGGAUGUGCCCAGAUGGGAUUAGCUUGUUGGUGGGGUAACGGCUCACCAAGGCGACGAUCCCUAGCUGGUCUGAGAGGAUGACCAGCCACACUGGGACUGAGACACGGUCCAGACUCCUACGGGAGGCAGCAGUGGGGAAUAUUGCACAAUGGGCGCAAGCCUGAUGCAGCCAUGCCGCGUGUAUGAAGAAGGCCUUCGGGUUGUAAAGUACUUUCAGCGGGGAGGAAGGGAGUAAAGUUAAUACCUUUGCUCAUUGACGUUACCCGCAGAAGAAGCACCGGCUAACUCCGUG
rnacentral:rRNA from 1 species